UUCAAAUUGAGAGUUUGAUCCUGGCUCAGGACGAACGCUGGCGGCGUGCCUAAUACAUGCAAGUCGAGCGAGCUGAAUUCAAAGAUUCCUUCGGGAUGAUUUGUUGGACGCUAGCGGCGGAUGGGUGAGUAACACGUGGGCAAUCUGCCCUAAAGACUGGGAUACCACUUGGAAACAGGUGCUAAUACCGGAUAACAACAUGAAUCGCAUGAUUCAAGUUUGA
rnacentral:rRNA from 1 species